rnacentral:rRNA from 1 species
GACGAACGCUGGCGGCGUGCCUAAUACAUGCAAGUUGAGCGAUGAAGAUUGGUGCUUGCACCAAUUUGAAGAGCAGCGAACGGGUGAGUAACGCGUGGGGAAUCUGCCUUUGAGCGGGGGACAACAUUUGGAAACGAAUGCUAAUACCGCAUAACAACUUUAAACAUAAGUUUUAAGUUUGAAAGAUGCAAUUGCAUCACUCAAAGAUGAUCCCGCGUUGUAUUAGCUAGUUGGUGAGGUAAAGGCUCACCAAGGCGAUGAUACAUAGCCGACCUGAGAGGGUGAUCGGCCACAUUGGGACUGAGACACGGCCCAAACGACUACGGGAGGCAGCAGUAGGGAAUCUUCGGAAAUGGACGAAAGUCUGACCGAGCAACGCCGCGUGAGUGAAGAAGGUUUUCGGAUCGUAAAACUCUGUUGGUAGAGAAGAACGUUGGUGAGAGUGGAAAGCUCAUCAAGUGACGGUAACUACCCAGAAAGGGACGGCUAACUACGUG